rnacentral:rRNA from 1 species
UAUGUGAUCGUCUCUCGCAUAUCAAUAAGCGGAGGAAAAGAAACUAACAAGGAUUCCCCUAGUAACGGCGAGUGAAGCGGGAAGAGCUCAAAUUUGAAAUCUUAAAAGGGUUUCCCUUUACGAAUUGUAGUUUAAAGAAGUGUUUUCUGUUGAGGUUUUGGUAAAAGUUCUUUGGAGUAGGACAUCAUAGAGGGGUGAGAAUCCCGUAUUUGACCUUUACUUUCAACUUUGUGAUACACUUUCAAAGAGUCGGAUUGUUUGGGAAUGCAGUCCAAAAUGGGUGGUAAAUUUCAUCUAAAGCUAAAUAUUGGCGAGAGACCGAUAGCGAACAAGUACCGUGAGGGAAAGAUGAAAAGAACUUUGAAAAGAGAGUUAAACAGUACGUGAAAUUGUCAAAAGGGAAGCGUUUGACACCAGUGUUGUUUUUCUGAAAAUCAAUUAAAGAACUGUUUAUGCUAAGUUGUUUAGACUUUAUCAGCUAACUGUUUAGUUUUGAGCUUUUCUUUAAUGCACUUUUCAGUUAACAAGUCAACAUCAAUUUCUUUUGCUGUAAAAAAGCUUGAGGAAGGUGGCUUGAGAUUCGUCUUAAGUGUUUAUAGCCUCUUGCCUAUGCAGUCGGAGAGAUUGAGGUCUGCAGCGUAGAUCCUUCGGGGCUAAAUGCAUUUGUGCUAAGUUAUAGCAUUUUAUAGACAACUUGUUGACUAUGAUUUGUCUUGUAGCUUACUCGCUUAUGUUAUUUUACCUACGCUUAGGAUGUUGAUCUACAGAGCGAGAGU